GCACACCCCGGCCCACCUGCUCGCCGGCACCCACACACACUUUCCUAUCCCGCACAGCGGAAAUAAAACCGGUUCUCUCAGCCGAACCCCCAGGUCCGAGUCAGAAGAACGGACGCCGGAUGCCCUCCCCCUUGGCAGAACUCUCUUCUAUUCCGCGCCCCCCCCCCCCCAGGAGGUUCCCUCACAAGCCGAGGCCGGGAACCUGAAGAGAGGCUAAGGAGAUACAAAAGUGAAUGGACUCAGCAACCAGUGGAGCCUCCUGUGACUGGCAGCAGGAACUCCUUGACCUCUGGCACAAACAUCCAGAAUUGGGUUCCAGUCAGUUGGUACAGGAAGAAGGGAGAGAAUGGAAAGGAGGAAGAGAGACAGAGACAGAGAGACAUCCACUGGUUGCAUCCUGCAUGCCCCCACCAGGGCCAGGAAUCAAGCCUACAACCAACAUACGUGGUCUACCUUCACCUGGCUUCCUCUCCCCUCUACCAGGGUUACGUUUGAACCUGCUCACAAUUCCCACUCUCUUUUCCAGCAUUUAUCCCUUUUUAAUGUCUUCAAAUACAGUCUGUCUCCUCCAUUAGAUUGUAAGCUGCAUGGGUGAGGAGCAGUAAUCUGUGUUGUUCACUGCUGUGUCCCUAGCACCUAGCAACGGGCCUCAAUAAAUAUGUGCUGCCUGAAUGAAUGAAUGAAUGAAUAAAUAAAUGAGUGGAUUCCUUAAUCUUUAAGAUAAUAAAAAUGGUCUAGAAGAGAAAGUUCUUCAGAUAAAUCCUCCAAGGUUAUACCCCAAGGUUGUGUUCACAGCACCCAGCAGCAAUUUGCAUUGCAGUCUUAAUCUGGGCCAGACCAGGCAUUCCUGAGGAGAAAAACAAAGCAGACA